UACGUAGGGUGCAAGCGUUAAUCGGAAUUACUGGGCGUAAAGCGUGCGCAGGCGGUUUUGUAAGUCUGGCGUGAAAGCCCCGGGCUCAACCUGGGAAUUGCGAUGGAGACUGCAAGGCUUGAAUCUGGCAGAGGGGGGUAGAAUUCCACGUGUAGCAGUGAAAUGCGUAGAGAUGUGGAGGAACACCGGUGGCGAAGGCGGCAUCCUGGACCGACAUUGACGCUGAGGCGCGAAAGCCAGGGGAGCAAACGGG
rnacentral:rRNA from 1 species